GGCUCGAUGGCGGACGGUCCGCGUCUGCACCAUAUAUGCUCCAAUGGCGUGUCGGCAGAGGAUCCCCGUUCGACUCGGGGUCGAGCCA